AUUGAACGCUGGCGGCAUGCUUUACACAUGCAAGUCGAACGGCAGCACGGGCUUCGGCCUGGUGGCGAGUGGCGAACGGGUGAGUAAUGCAUCGGAACGUACCGUGUAAUGGGGGAUAACGUAGCGAAAGUUACGCUAAUACCGCAUACGCCCUGAGGGGGAAAGCGGGGGAUCGUAAGACCUCGCGUUAUACGAGCGGCCGAUGUCGGAUUAGCUAGUUGGUGGGGUAAAGGCCUACCAAGGCGACGAUCCGUAGCGGGUCUGAGAGGAUGAUCCGCCACACUGGGACUGAGACACGGCCCAGACUCCUACGGGAGGCAGCAGUGGGGAAUUUUGGACAAUGGGCGGCAAGCCUGAUCCAGCCAU
rnacentral:rRNA from 1 species